ACCAAAGCAAUUGAAGUGUUUGCUUCAUCUCUUUAAAGCAAAUACUUGAUAUUAAAGACAUAAUAUGUAAUUUUGCAAGGAUGAUGUAAAUUACAUAUUAUGGUUGCAUUUGAAAAACAUAAUUUGAAUAGAAAUGUAUGCUGAAAUCUAAACUGUUGCUUCGUUUCCUGUUUCCAUAGUCACAACACCAUCAACAACAUCACCUACACCAACAUACACACCAAUAGACUUUGAUGUAGUCCUUGAAUUACACAUCCCAGCAUCCAGUGUGGCCCCAAAUUUCAGUGAUGUACUCAGACACAUUGUGAGAAAUGUCUCCCUAAACCAAACCAUCACUGAGUCUUUAACACUGAAAAACCUGACCUUCACCACAUGGUGCUAUCCAAACUCCACUGGAGGAC